GGAGAAAUGGCAGAGUGGUCGAAUGCACUAGUCUUGAAAACUAGCGAGGGUCACACCUCCGGGGGUUCGAAUCCCUCUUUCUCCGCCA
rnacentral:tRNA from 1 species